GUUUGGAGAGAGACUGAAAAGUCCUGGAGAGACCGUAUCACUGAUGAGUGUGUUGAAAAACAUUAAAUCUGUUGUACAACUCUGUACGCUUGGCUACUUUGACGUGCGUAUUCGUGGAACCGCAAGACAGCGACUUCUACAACGUGCAUCACCUCGCCAACAGAGUUGGAGAGAGCCUGAACAAUCUUCUCAUGUGCUGUGGCCACCACACUCUGCCCGUUGAUCUCGAUGAUCCGGUGGCCAACCCGGACCCCUCCUCGCUCAGCGAUGCCCCCCCGCAUAAGACUGCAUAUCUGGGAGGAACACAAAAAAGGUGGCGAGCGGCAGCCCUACGAGGCUGGUGUUGUUGAUGGACAUGAUCUGAUCGCCGAUGCUCAACUUGCCCGAGCGUGCCGCUGGGGCGCCGUUCAUCAUGUUGGCUAAGAUGACCGUGGGGAGGAUGGAACCCCAACCUGACUCCACGAUCACGACGCCCAGGAUCUCGCCUUUACUCUUCUCCAGCUGCAGCUGUGGACGACAGCAGAGGAGAGGUCAGGUCUUACUGCCUGUAACAACACACCUAAUUAGUCUUUUGAUAGACUAAUUAGUCUCCUGAUGAGCCCUAAGCCCCAUUCAGACUAGACAUCAGCAACUAUAAUUAGUAGUAGUGUGUAAUAUACUGUGGAACGCAUUUAUAUCAAUUCCCCUUGGAUUGGCUUGAAGUAAGCGGCUGUCGCCAUAAACAUAAACACUGGGCAGUAAA